rnacentral:rRNA from 1 species
CCUACGGGAGGCAGCAGUGAGGAAUAUUGGUCAAUGGGCGGAAGCCUGAACCAGCCAAGUAGCGUGCGGGAUGAAGGCCCUACGGGUCGUAAACAGCUUUUGCACGGGGAGAACACCCUCCCCUUGUGGAGGUCUGCAGGUACCGUGCGAAUAAGGGCCGGCUAAUUCCGUGCCAGCAGCCGCGGUAAUACGGAGGGCCCGAGCGUUAUCCGGUUUCAUUGGGCGUACAGGGUGCGUAGGCGGGCGUUCAAGUCAGCUGGAAAAUCACGGGGAUCAACCGCGCCCCGCAGUUGAAACUGGACGCCUUGAGAUCACAACAGGCAGGCGGAAUUCGUGGUGUAGCGGUGAAAUGCAGAGAUAUCACGAGGAACCCCGAUUGCGAAGGCAGCCUGCCGGGGUGCGACUGACGCUGAGGCUCGAAGGUGCGGGUAUCAAACAGGAUGAGAUACCCGUGUAGUC